AUUGAACGCUGGCGGCAUGCCUUACACAUGCAAGUCGAACGGUAGGGGGAGCAAUCCCCUGAGAGUGGCGAACGGGUGAGUAAAGCAUCGGAACGUGCCCAGUUGUGGGGGAUAACUACUCGAAAGAGUGGCUAAUACCGCAUACGACCUGAGGGUGAAAGCGGGGGACCGAAAGGCCUCGCGCAGUUGGAGCGGCCGAUGUCAGAUUAGCUAGUUGGGGGGGUAAAGGCCCACCAAGGCGACGAUCUGUAGCUGGUCUGAGAGGACGACCAGCCACACCGGGACUGAGACACGGCCCAGACUCCUACGGGAGGCAGCAGUGGGGAAUUUUGGACAAUGGGCGCAAGCCUGAUCCAGCCAUGCCGCGUGCAGGAAGAAGGCCUUCGGGUUGUAAACUGCUUUUGUCAGGGAAGAAAUCCCUUGGGUUAAUACCUCGGGGGGAUGACGGUACCUGAAGAAUAAGCACCGGCUAACUACGUGCCAGCCGCCGCAGUAACAC
rnacentral:rRNA from 1 species